AAGCGGAGGAAAAGAAACCAACAGGGAUUGCCCUAGUAACGGCGAGUGAAGCGGCAACAGCUCAAAUUUGAAAUCUGGCUUCGGCCCGAGUUGUAAUUUGUAGAGGAAACUUUUGGUGAGGCACCUUCUGAGUCCCUUGGAACAGGGCGCCAUAGAGGGUGAGAGCCCCGUAUAGUCGGAUGCCGAUCCAGUGUAAAGUUCCUUCGACGAGUCGAGUAGUUUGGGAAUGCUGCUCAAAAUGGGAGGUAAAUUUCUUCUAAAGCUAAAUAUAGGCCAGAGACCGAUAGCGCACAAGUAGAGUGAUCGAAAGAUGAAAAGCACUUUGAAAAGAGGGUUAAAUAGCACGUGAAAUUGUUGAAAGGGAAGCGUUUGUGACCAGACUUGCGCCGUUCCGAUCAUCCGGUGUUCUCACCGGUGCACUCGGGGCGGCUCAGGCCAGCAUCGGUUUUGGUGGGGGGAUAAAGGUUCAGGGAACGUGGCUCCUCCGGGAGUGUUAUAGCCCUGGGCGUAAUGCCCUCGCCGGGACCGAGGUUCGCGCAUCUGCAAGGAUGCUGGCGUAAUGGUCAUCAACGACCCGUCUUGAAACACGGACCAAGGAGUCAAGGUUUUGCGCGAGUGUUUGGGUGUAAAACCCGCACGCGUAAUGAAAGUGAACGUAGGUGAGAGCUUCGGCGCAUCAUCGACCGAUCCUGAUGUAUUCGGAUGGAUUUGAGUAAGAGCGUUAAGCCUUGGACCCGAAAGAUGGUGAACUAUGCUUGGAUAGGGUGAAGCCAGAGGAAACUCUGGUGGAGGCUCGCAGCGGUUCUGACGUGCAAAUCGAUCGUCAAAUCUGAGCAUGGGGGCGAAAGACUAAUCGAACCAUCUAGUAGCUGGUUACCGCCGAAGUUUCCCUCAGGAUAGCAGUGUUGUUCUUCAGUUUUAUGAGGUAAAGCGAAUGAUUAGGGACUCGGGGGCGCUUUUUAGCCUUCAUCCAUUCUCAAACUUUAAAUAUGUAAGAAGCUCUUGUUACUUAAUUGAACGUGAGCAUUCGAAUGUACCAACACUAGUGGGCCAUUUUUGGUAAGCAGAACUGGCG
rnacentral:rRNA from 2 species